rnacentral:rRNA from 1 species
GAUGAACUGUGGGUAGCGGAGAAAUUCCAAUCGAACCCGGAGAUAGCUGGUUCUCCCCGAAAUAGUUUUAGGACUAGCCUCAAGUUAGAUACCUGGAGGUAAAGCACUGAAUAGCCUAGCGGCCGAGAGGUUAGCGAAGCUUAUCAAACUCAGAAUGCCAGAGUAUUGAUGCUUGGGAGUCAGACAGUGUCAGAUAAAUGUCAUUGUCAAAAGGGAAACAGCCCAGAUCUACAGCUAAGGUCCCAAAGUCAGGUUAAGUGGAAAACGAUGUGAAGAUACGCAGACAACCAGGAUGUUGGCUCAGAAGCAGCCACUCAUUCAAAGAGUGCGUAAUAGCUCACUGGUCGAGCGUCUUUGCGCGGAGAAUUUAACGGGGCUAAACCUGACACCGAAGCUUAGGCAAUCCAGCAAUGGAUUGGGUAGGGGAGCGUUGUAUACGCGGAGAAACAGUAGCGUAAGCGGCUGUGGAGUGUAUAGAAGUGAGAAUGCCGGAAUGAGUAGCGCGAAUGCAGUGAGAAUCUGCAUGGCCGAAAGCCUCAGGUUUUUGGAGGAAGGUUCGUCCGCUCCAAGUUAGUCGGGAGCUAAGGUGAGGCCGGAAGGCGUAGCCGAUGCACAGACGGUAGAGAUUCCGUCACCACCAAAAGAGUUAAGCACAGGGACACAUUUGAAGUCUCAGAGCCGGGUGUUGGUUCCGGUAGAGAUCGAGGGAAGUUAGUACCGAAGUCUGGGAUGGAAGAUGGCGAGAAAAGCUGUGUGUAUUUCUGAGGUGCCCGUACCGCAAACCGACACAGGUAGGUAGGAAGAAGAUUCUAAGGCCAACGGGAGAAGGGUUGUUAAGGAACUCGGCAAAUUGACCCCGUAACUUCGGGAGAAGGGGUGCUCCAGAGAUGGAGCCGCAGAGAAUCGGCCCAAGCAACUGUUUACCAAAAACACAGGUUUGUGCUAAAUCGAAAGAUGACGUAUACGAGCUGACGCCUGCCCGGUGCUGGAAGGUUAAGAGGAGAUGUGCAAGCAUUGAAUCGAAGCCCCAGUGAACGGCGGCCGUAACUAUAACGGUCCUAAGGUAGCGAAAUUCCUUGUCAGGUAAGUUCUGACCCGCAUGAAAGGCGUAAUGAUUUGGGCACUGUCUCAACAGCCCGCCCGGCGAAAUUGUAGUACCGGUGAAGAUGCCGGUUACCCGCGACAAGACGGAAAGACCCCAUGGAGCUUUACUGUAGCCUAAUAUUGGGUUUCGAUGUUGCAUGCACAGGAUAGAUGGGACACUGGGAAACAAUCGCUUUGGCGGUUGCGGAGUGGCCGUUGGGAUACCAUCCUUGCGAUAUUGGAAUUCUAACCUGCGGCUCUGAAUCGAGUCGGGGGACAUUGUUAGGUGGGCAGUUUGACUGGGGCGGUCGCCUCCUAAAAAGUAACGGAGGCGUUCAAAGGUUCGCUCAGCUUGAACGGAAAUCAAGCAAAAGAGUGCAAACGCAGAAGCGAGCCUAACUGCGAGACUGACGGGUCGAGCAGUAACGAAAGUUGGAGUUAGUGAUCCGGUGGUAUGUGAGUGGAAAUGCCAUCGCUCAACGGAUAAAAGUUACCCUGGGGAUAACAGGCUGAUCUCCCCCAAGAGUCCACAUCGACGGGGAGGUUUGGCACCUCGAUGUCGGCUCAUCGCAUCCUGGGGCUGUAUUCGGUCCCAAGGGUUUGGCUGUUCGCCAAUUAAAGCGGUACGCGAGCUGGGUUCAGAACGUCGUGAGACAGUUCGGUCCCUAUCUGUCGUGGGCGCAGGAUAUUUGAUGGGAGCUGUCCCUAGUACGAGAGGACCGGGACGGACGUACCUCUGGCGCACCAGUUGUUCCGCCAGGAGCAUAGCUGGGCAACUACGUACGGAUCGGAUAAACGCUGAAAGCAUCUAAGCGUGAAGCCGACCCAAAGAUAAGAUAUCCCAUUGUUUUAAACAAGUAAGACCCCUUGAAGACUACAAGGUUGAUAGGCACGAUGUGUAAGUGGAGCGAUCCAUUCAGCAAGCGUGUACUAAUAGGUCGAGGGCUUGACCAC